rnacentral:rRNA from 1 species
AACGAACGCUGGCGGCGCGUCUUAAACAUGCAAGUCGAACGAUCUGUAGCAAUACAGGGAGUGGCGGACGGGUGAGGAACACGUAGGAAUCUACCUAGAAGAGCGGGACAACUUUGGGAAACCGGGGCUAAUACCGCAUAGUACAGAGAUGUUAAAGGGCUAGCAAUAGUCGCUUCUAGAUGAGCCUGCGGCCUAUCAGCUUGUUGGUGAGGUAAUGGCUCACCAAGGCAACGACGGAUAGCCGGUCUGAGAGGAUGAUCGGCCACACUGGCACUGAGACACGGGCCAGACUCCUACGGGAGGCAGCAGUUAAGAAUCUUGCGCAAUGGGGGAAACCCUGACGCAGCGACGCCGCGUGAAGGAUGAAGGCUUUCGGGUUGUAAACUUCGGUAGACUGGGAAGAAGAACUACGUUCGUUGAGGGCGUAGAGUGACGGUACCAGUCUGAAGCCCCGGCUAAUUACGUGCCAGCAGCCGCGGUAAU